AGUAAGAUGGCUGAGCUUAGGCGAUAAAUUGUAAAUUUAUUUACGGGGAAUACCUCUUUUACU
rnacentral:tRNA from 1 species